AGCAGCAGUUAGCUCAGUUGGUUAGAACGUGGUGCUGAUUACGCCAAGGUCAUGGGUUUGAUCUCCAUAUGGGUAAUAUGCUGUCU